rnacentral:rRNA from 1 species
CGUAGGGUGCGAGCGUUAAUCGGAAUUACUGGGCGUAAAGCGUGCGCAGGCGGUUUGUUAAGAUAGGCGUGAAAUCCCCGGGCUCAACCUGGGAACUGCGCUUAUGACUGGCAAGCUAGAGUACGGCAGAGGGGGUGGAAUUCCACGUGUAGCAGUGAAAUGCGUAGAGAUGUGGAGGAACACCAAUGGCGAAGGCAGCCCCCUGGGUCGAUACUGACGCUCAUGCACGAAAGCGUGGGUAGCAAACAGGAUUAGAUACCCUGGUAGUCCACGCCCUAAACGAUGUCAACUAGGUGUUAGGAGGGUAAAACCUUUUAGUACCGGAGCUAACGCGUGAAGUUGACCGCCUGGGGAGUACGGCCGCGAAGGUUA